AGCAGGAAGCCCCUUGCUCCCCCCCCCCCCUUAGCAUGGCUGAUUUAAAAACAACCAAAAUCAUUCCCCGAGAUGUUCCUUUUUCAAUCACCAUAUAUACAAGAGGUCACUCCUGACGACUUCUUUAUCUUCUUUAUUUUUCAUUUAUAUUUAUAUAUAUUUAUAUAUAUAUAAAACCCUGCAACUCAGACACUCUUAAAUUUACACACAUGUCAACGAAAAAUAUAUGUAUAUCUCCAACAAAAGCUUUUCCAUUCUGGCAUCUCCCGACGUGCAUGUAAAGCACACCAGCCCCUCACAUUUUUGGGGGGUUAACCCUUUUAACCCGAUGGAGUGUUUUCAAAGCAAGGUAUUUACUGUAUGACCUGUGGACUUCAAUUCCCAGAAUCCUGGCCAAGGAAUUUUGGAAGUUGAAGUCCACAAGUCUUUAGUUGGAUACCCCAGCCUCAAGUUUCUGAAAGGUGAAAAUAGGAAACAGCAGCCAGAAGAUCCUG